rnacentral:rRNA from 1 species
GAUGAACGCUGGCGGCGUGCCUAAUACAUGCAAGUCGAGCGAACAGAUAAGGAGCUUGCUCCUUUGACGUUAGCGGCGGACGGGUGAGUAACACGUGGGUAACCUACCUAUAAGACUGGAAUAACUCCGGGAAACCGGGGCUAAUGCCGGAUAACAUUUAGAACCGCAUGGUUCUAAAGUGAAAGAUGGUUUUACUAUCACUUAUAGAUGGACCCGCGCCGUAUUAGCUAGUUGGUAAGGUAACGGCUUACCAAGGCAACGAUACGUAGCCGACCUGAGAGGGUGAUCGGCCACACUGGAACUGAGAAACGGUCCAGACUCCUACGGGAGGCAGCAGUAGGGAAUCUUCCGCAAUGGGCGAAAGCCUGACGGAGCAACGCCGCGUGAGUGAUGAAGGUCUUCGGAUCGUAAAACUCUGUUAUUAGGGAAGAACAAAUGUGUAAGUAACUGUGCACGUCUUGACGGUACCUAAUCAGAAAGCCACGGCUAACUACGUG